rnacentral:lncRNA from 1 species
CAGAGUACAAACUGUGUUAUUCCAAAAAAAAGAGAAAAACUCUUUAUCUAACCAAUGUUUACAGAAAUUUGGAAUAUUUACAUACCUUAUAACACUGUAGAAAUCUUUGGUGGUGACAUAUGGAUUAAGUUCCCUGAAAACACUUUAAUAAUUUUAUUCCAUCAAUCUGUAUAGUCAAGUAUUUAAAACUGGUAAUGCUGGCAACAUCAUUUUCUAUCCAAAUCCACAUACAUAUAGUGAAGUGUGUGGAGGGAAUCUUAUGCAGGGAUUAUGUGGGUUUAUAUAAUUACUUAGCAAUAAGGCUUAUUUCUGGCUCAUUUUUACACCAGAAAAAAAAAAUAUAGUAAACUAAAGAAAAAAAAAGUACAAGUUUAUUAUACAAAAUUCAAAUGAAAGCAUGCUAAAACACACAGAAGAGAAAAGAAGCAAAAUAUAAGAAAUGAAAGGACAGAAAGGAAAUGACAGAACAGUGAAACGACAUUGACUGUAUGUAAGGUUAUAACAAACGUAUGAGAGGAAGCCUUGAGAUAUGAUUAAAUAGAAGGAUUUGCAUCAUCUCUUUGAAACUAGUGUUGCUCUUGGUUAAACGUUUUGACUCUAGAAGUGUAGAGGGAUAAAUAAUUCCUCCAAUUUAGGACAGUAUUUGUGAGUUUACGAUAAUUA